rnacentral:rRNA from 1 species
GGCCGCGGGAAUUCCUUUCAGGCCUAACACAUGCAAGUCGAGCGGAUGAAAGUAUCUUGCUACUGGAUUCAGCGGCGGACGGGUGAGUAAUGCUAGGAAUCUGCCUAUUAGUGGGGGACAACAUCUCGAAAGGGAUGCUAAUACCGCAUACGUCCUACGGGAGAAAGCAGGGGAUCUUCGGACCUUGCGCUAAUAGAUGAGCCUAAGUCGGAUUAGCUAGUUGGUGGGGUAAAGGCCUACCAAGGCGACGAUCUGUAGCGGGUCUGAGAGGAUGAUCCGCCACACUGGGACUGAGACACGGCCCAGACUCCUACGGGAGGCAGCAGUGGGGAAUAUUGGACAAUGGGGUGAUCCCUGAUCCAGCCAUGCCGCGUGUGUGAAGAAGGCCUUUUGGUUGUAAAGCACUUUAAGCGAGGAGGAGGAGCUCUUGGUUAAUACCCAAGAUGCUUGGACGUUACUCGCAGAAUAAGCACCGGCUAACUCUGUGCCAGCAGCCGCGGUAAUACAGAGGGUGCAAGCGUUAAUCGGAUUUACUGGGCGUAAAGCGCGCGUAGGUGGCCAAUUAAGUCAAAUGUGAAAUCCCCGAGCUUAACUUGGGAUUUGCAUUCGAUACUGGUUGGCUAGAGUAUGGGAGAGGAUG